CCCUAAUUUCCCAAAAUCUCUACAAUCCUCUGUCUCUCACUCUCCGGUCACCGGCAAAAGCCCUCUUCACAACUCCUCCGGCUCCGGCCAUUGACGCAAUGGUGGGACUUUCCGUUGGAGAAAAGCAUUUUAUCAAGGGAGGCAUUGAACAGGACCUCCGUACUGACGGCCGAAAACGCUACACUUAUCGGCCCAUUUACGUUGAAACAGGUGUCAUCCCUCAGGCUAAUGGUUCAGCUAGAGUUAAGCUUGGUGCCACCGAUGUUAUCGCGAGUGUUAAGGCUGAACUUGGAAAGCCGAGCCCAUCUUAUCCGGAUAAAGGGAAGGUAUUAAUCAACGUGGAUUGCAGUCCCACGGCUGAGCCAGCAUUUGAGGGUAGAGGAGGGGAAGAGCUGUCGUCAGAACUCUCAGUUGCUCUUCAGCGCUGUCUCUUGGGUGGUAAAAGUGGAGCAGGGGCUGGAAUAGAUCUCUCAUCUCUUUCCAUCGUUGAGGGGAAAAUCUGUUGGGAUCUUUAUAUAGAAGGUCUUGUUGUUAGUUCAGAUGGGAAUCUGUUAGAUGCCUUGGGCGCUGCAGUCAAGGCUGCUCUGAGCAAUACAGCUCUUCCAAAAGUCCAAGUGGCUUCAGCUGCCUCUGAUGAGCAGCCAGAGGUUGAUUUGAGUGAUGAAGAAUUUUUGCAAUUUGACACCAGUGGAAUUCCUGCCAUUAUAACUCUGACAAAGGUUGGUAAGCACUACAUCGUGGAUGGAACUUCGGAAGAAGAAUCUCAGAUGAGCUCAGCUGUCUCUGUUUCUGUGAAUAAGCAAGGGCGCAUAUGUGGGCUGACAAAGCGAGGGGGUGCAGGCCUAAAUCCAUCUGUCAUACUUGACAUGAUCUCUGUUUCUAAACAUUUAAGUGAGCAGCUGAUAAAUAAGUUGGAUUCCGAGAUAGCUGCAGCAGAAGCUUGUGAAGAAGAUGAAUUUUGACACAAAAUCAAGCAUCCAUUUGGUAUAAUAGUUCAACUGUUUUGCCUUCAAUAUAGCUUGCUAAAGGAUGUAAUUUUGUAGAAUUAUCAGAUACAAAUUAACUUAUAGGUGCUCAGGAAGUGAUUGAGCUAAUUGCAGCUGGAACUGGAAAUGGCAAUUAUUUGCUGAACUGUAACCAUGAUGGUGGUGCUUUCUUAUCCUGGAUAUGGAGUAAAGUUAUCUAUAUGGGCCAAAAGAAAGAAGUCUGUUGAGAGUCAAGAAUGUCUUUCGUACUAUUUGGCAUAUAUCAGAAUCUCAUCCGUAAUAGGCACAGGAAAUUCUUCUUUGAACCAGGAGUAUUUUGUGUCUGGCAGAGAGCAUAUCAGCAGAGCACGUUGGUUUUUCAUUCACCAGGCCAUGAGCGACAGCAUGACUUUUUAUAUUUACAGGCUUAUAAUAAUGCUGAAGCCAGAAAAGUAUUCCUGUGUUCUGUUUCAUACGUGGGUUGUGUCUGCUGCCUCAGGAGUUUUUCUGCCUAUCAAUCAUGAGAUCCAUAUCCAUGAUUUCAUGGUUACACUAGAUUAGUUUCAUGACCAUAAAAAAAUAGUCUUAUUAUUCUUUUAUUUGAUUCUAUAAUCUAACAUUUGCCAUUUUC